UGAACGCUGGCGGCAUGCCUUACACAUGCAAGUCGAACGGUAACAGGUUAAGCUGACGAGUGGCGAACGGGUGAGUAAUAUAUCGGAACGUGCCCAGUCGUGGGGGAUAACUACUCGAAAGAGUAGCUAAUACCGCAUACGACCUGAGGGUGAAAGCGGGGGAUCGCAAGACCUCGCGCGAUUGGAGCGGCCGAUAUCAGAUUAGGUAGUUGGUGGGGUAAAAGCCCACCAAGCCAACGAUCUGUAGCUGGUCUGAGAGGACGACCAGCCACACUGGGACUGAGACACGGCCCAGACUCCUACGGGAGGCAGCAGUGGGGAAUUUUGGACAAUGGGCGCAAGCCUGAUCCAGCCAUGCCGCGUGCGGGAAGAAGGCCUUCGGGUUGUAAACCGCUUUUGUCAGGGAAGAAAAGGUUCUGGUUAAUACCUGGGACUCAUGACGGUACCUGAAGAAUAAGCACCGGCUAACUAC
rnacentral:rRNA from 1 species